rnacentral:rRNA from 1 species
UCGUAACAAGGUUUCCGUAGGUGAACCUGCGGAAGGAUCAACCCCUGUGAUAGUUUGUUU